AUUGAACGCUGGCGGCAUGCCUUACACAUGCAAGUCGAACGGCAGCACGGGGGCGAACCCUCGGUGGCGAGUGGCGAACGGGUGAGUAAUGCAUCGGAACGUACCUUUCAGUGGGGGAGUAACUAGCGAAAGUUACGCUAAUACCGCAUAUUCUGUGAGCAGGAAAGCAGGGGAUCGCAAGACCUUUGCGCUGAUGGAGCGGCCGAUGUCAGAUUAGCUAGUUGGUGGGGUAAAGGCUCACCAAGGCGACGAUCUGUAGCGGGUCUUAGAGGAUGAUCCGCCACACUGGAACUGAGACACGGUCCAGACUCCUACGGGUGGCAG
rnacentral:rRNA from 1 species